GGUUUUUUAAAAUUUAUUUCCAUAAGUUAUUGGGGAACAUGUGGUUGGUUACAUGAGUAAGUUAUUUAGUGGUGAUUUGUGAGAUUUUGAUGCACCCAUCACCCAAGCAGUACACACUACACCCUAUUAGUAGUCUUUCACCCCUCACCUCCUCUCCGUCCAUUUCCCCUGACUCCCCAGAGUCCAUUGUGUCAUUCUUAUGCCUUUGCAUCCCCACACCUUAGCUCCCAGUUAUGAGUGAGAAUAUAUAAUGUUUGUUUUUUCACUCCUGAGUUACUUCACUUAGAAUAAUAGUCUACAAUCUCAUCCAGGUGGCUGUGAAUGUCACUAAUUCAUUCCUUUUCAUGGCUGAGUUGUAUUGUAUCAUAUAUAUAGAUAGAUAUAUGAUAUAUAUGAAAAAGAAAAAAGAAACUGUAAUAUAUCACAGUUCUUUUUUUUGAAAUGAAGUCUCACUCUGUCGCCAGGCUGGAGUGCAGUGGCGCGAUCGCGGCUCACUGCAACCUCCACCUCCUGGGUUCAAGCAAUUCUCCUGCCUCAGCCUCCCGAGUAGCUGAGACUACAGGUGUGUGCCACCAUGCCCGGCUAAUUUUUGUAUUUUUAGUACGGAUGGGUUUUCACCGUGAUAGCCAAGAUGGUCUCAAUCUCUUAACCUCCUGAUCUGCCCGACUUGGCCUCCCAAAGUGCUGGGAUUGCAGGCAUGAGCCACCACACCCAGCCACCACAGUUUCUUUAUCCACUUGUUGAUUGAUGGGCAUUCAGUGUUGAUUCCAUGUUUUUACAAUUGAGAAUCGUGCUGCUAUAAAUAUGCAUAUGCACGUAUCUUUUCUGUAUAAUGAUUUUUCUUCCUCUGUGUAGAUAACCAGUAGUGAGAUUGCUGGAUCAAAUGGUAGAUCUACUUUUAGUUGUUUAAGGAAUCUCCACAGUUUUCCAUAGUGGUUGUAUUAGUUUACAUUCUCACCAGCAAUGUAGACAUGUUCCACGUUCACUGCAUCCACGCCAACAUCUACUGUUUUCUGAUUUUUUGAUUAUAGCCAUUCUUGCAGGAGUAAAGUAGUUUCACACUGUGGUUCUGAUUUGCACUUCCCUGAUCAUUAGUGAUGUUGAGCAUUUUUUUCAUAUGUUCUUUGACCAUUUGUAUGUCUUCUUUUGAGCAUUAUCUAUUCAUGUUCUUAGCCCACAUUUGGAUGGGAUAGUUUGUUUUUUUCCUGUUGAUCUGUUUGAGUUCAUUGUAGAUUCUGGAUUAUUAGUUCUUUGUCAGAUGUAGCGAUUGUAAAGAUCUUUUUCCCACUAUAUGGCUUGUUGGUUUACUCUGCUGACUGUUCUUUUGCUGUGCAAAAGCUCUUUAGUUUAAUUAAGUCCCAGCAAUUUAUCUUUGUUUUUAUUCCAUUUGCUUUUGGAUUCUUGGUCAUGAAAUUCUUGCCUAAGCCAAUGUCUAGAAGGGUUUUUCCAAUAAUAUCUUCUAGAAUUUUUAUAUUUUCAGGUCUUAGAUUUCAGUCCUUAAUCCAUGUUGAGUUGAUUUUUGUAUAAGGUGAGAGAUGAGGAUGAUUUCAUUCUCUUACCUGUGGCUAGCCAAUUAUCCUGAUACCAUCUGUUGAAAAGUGUGUUCUUUCUCCACUUUAUGUUUUUAAUUGCUUUGUUGAAGAUCAGUUGGCUGUAUCUGGGUUUAUUUCUGUGUUCUCUGUUCUGUUCCAUUGGUCUGUAUACCUGUUUUUAUACCAGUACCAUGCUGUAUGGGUGAUUAUGACCUUAUAGUAUAGUUCAAAAUCAGGUAAUGUUAUGCCUCCAGAUUUGUUUUGUUGUUGUUGUUUUUGUUUUUGUUUUUUGCUUAGGCUUGCUUUGGCUAUGCCAGCUCUUUUUUGGUUCCAUAUGAAUUUUAGGAUUGUGCUUUUCUUAUUCUGUGAAGAAUGAUGGUGGUGUUUGGUGGGAAUUGCAAUGAAUUUGUAGAUUGCUUUUGGUAAUAUGGUUGUAUUCACAAUAUUGAUUCUACCCAUCAGUGAGCAUGGGAUGUGUUUCCAUUUGUUUGUGUCAUCCAUGGUUUCUUUCAGCAGUGUUUUGUAGUUUUCCUUGUAGAGGUCUUUCACCUCUUUGGUUGGGUAUAUUACUAAAUAUUUGAUUUUAUUUGCAGCUAUUAUAAAAAGGGUUGAGUUCGUAAUUUGAUUCUCAACUUGGUCACUGCUGGUGUAUAGAAGAGCUGCUAAUUUGUGUACAUUAAUGUAUCCAGUAACUUUGCUGAAUUCUUUUAUCAGUUCUAGGAGCUUUCUGGAGCAGCCUUUAGGGUUUUCUAGGUAAAUGAUCAUAUCGUCAGCAAACAGUGACAGUUUGACUUUCUCUUUACCAAUUUGGAUGCCCUUUAUUUCCUUCUCUUGUCUGAUUGCUCUGGCUAGGACUUCCAGUACUAUGUUGAAGAGGAGUGGUGAGAGUGGGAAUCCUUGUCUUGCUCCAAUUCUCAGAGGGAAUGCUUUCAACUUUUCCCAUUUAGUAUUAUGUUGGCUGUGGGUUUGUCAUAGAUGGCUUUUAUUAUAUUGAGGUAUGUCCCUUGUAUGCCAGUUUUGCUGAGAGUUUUAAUCAUAAAGCGAUGCUGAAUUUUGUCUCAUGCUUUUUCUGCAUCUAUUGAGAUAAUCAUGUGAUUUUUGUUUUUAAUUAUGUUUAUGUGGUGUAUCACAUUUAUUGACUUGCAUAUGUUAAACCACCUCUGCAUCCCUGGUAUGAAACUGACUUGAUCAUGUUGAAUUAUCUUUUUGAUAUGUUGUUGGAUUUGGUUAGCUAGUACUUUGUUAAGAAUUUUAGCAUCUGUGUUCAUUAGGGAUAUUGUUCUGUAGAUUUCUUUUUUGUUUAUGUCCUGGUUUUGGUAUUAGGGUGAUAUUGGCUUCAUAGAAUGAUUUAGGGAGGGUUCCCUAUUUCUCUACCUUGUGGAAUAGUGUCAAUAGGAUUGGUACCAAUUCUUCUUUGAAGGUCUGAUAGAAUUCUGUUGUGAAUGCAACUGGUCCUGGAAUUUUUUUGUUGGUAAUUUUUUAAUUACUAUUUCAAUCUCACUGCUUUUUAUUGGUCUGUUCAGGGUAUCUAAUUUUUCCUGAUUUAAGCUAGAAGUGUUGUAUCUCUCCAGGAAUUUAUCCAUCUCUUCUAGGUUUUCUAGUUUAAUGUGUAUAAAGGUGUUCACAGUAGCCUUGAAUAUUUUUGUAUUUCUGUGUUGUCAGUUGUAAUAUCUCCUGUUUCCUUUCUUAUUGAGCUUAUUUGGGUGUUAUCUCUUUUGUUCUUGGUUAAUCUUGCUAAUGGUCUAUCAGUUUUAUUUAUCUUUUUAAAAACCAGCUUUUUGUUUCAUUUAUCUUUUGUGUUUUUUGUUUGUUUGUUUCCAUUUCAUUUAGUUCUGCUCUUAUCUUGGUUAUUUACUCUCUUCUGCUGGGUUUGGGUUUGGUUAGUUCUUGUUCGUCUAGUUCUUUGAGUUGUGACCUUAGAUUGUCCAUUUGUGCUGUUUCAGACUUUUUGAUUAAGGUGUUUAGGGCUACGAACUUUUCUCUUAGCACCACCUUUACUGUGUUCCAGAGGUUUUGAUUGGUUGUGUCACUAUUGUCGUUCAGUUCAAAAAAAUUUUAAUUUCCACCCUGAUUUUAUUUUUGACCCAAUGAUCAUUCAGGAGUAGGUUAUUUAAUGUCCAUGUAUUUGCAUGGUUUUGGAGGUUUCUUUUGGAUUUAUUUUCCAGUUUUAUUCCACUGUGGUCUGAGAGAGUGCUAGAUAUAAUUUCAGUUUUCUUAAACUUUUUGAAGCUUGUUUUGUGGCCUAUUGUAUGGCCUAUCUUGGAAAAAGUCCCAUGCACUGUUGAAUAGAAUGUACAGUCUGCGAUUGUUGGAUGGAAUGUUCUGUAUAUAUCUGUUAAGUCUAUUUGUUCCAGGGUACAGAUUAAAUCCAUUGUUUCUUUCUUGACUUUCUGUCUUAAUGACCUGUCCAGUGCUGUCAGUGGAGUAUUGAAGUCCCUCACCAUUACUGUGUUGUGGUCUAUCUCUUUGCUUUGGUCUAUUAGUAAUUGUUUUAUAAAUUUGGGAGCUCCAGUGUUAGGUGCACGUAUGUUUAGGAUUGUGAUAUUUUUCUGUUGGACAAAGCCUUGUAUCAUUAUAUAAUGCUCCUCUUUGUCUUUUUUAACUGCUGUUGCUUAAAAGUUUGUUUUGUCUGAUGUAAGAAUAGCUAGCCCUGCUCACUUUUGGUGUUCAUUUGCAUGAAAUGUCUUUUUUCCACCCCUUUACCCUAAGUUUGUGUGAGUCUUUAUAUGUUAGGUGAGUCUCUUGAAGCCAGCAGAUAGUUGGUUGGUGAAUUCUUAGCCAUUCUGCAAUACUGUAUCUUUUAAUUGGGGCAUUUAGGCCAUUUACAUUCAAUGUUAGUAUUUAGAUGUGAGGUACCAUUCCAUUCAUCGUGCUAUUUGUUACCUGUAUAUCUUGAUUUUUCAUUGCUUUUGUUUUUGUUUUUUCAAUUGUAUUUUUGUUUUAUAGGUCCUGUGAGAUUUAUGCUUUAAAAAGGUUCUUUUUUGAUGUGUUUCCAGAAUUUGUUUCAAGAUUUAGAGCUCCUUUUAGCAGUUCUUGUAGUGGUGACUUGGUAAUGGCAAAUUCUCUCAGCAUUUGUUUGUCUGAAAUACUGUAUCUUUCAUUCAUAUAUGAAGCUUAGUUUUGCUGGAUAAAAAAUUCUUGGCUGCUAAUUGUUUUGUUUGAGGAGGCUGAAGAUAGGACCCCAAAGGGUGUGGAGUUUCUGCUGAGAAAUCUUCUGUUAAUCAGAUUUUGCCUUAAAGUUUUCCUGGUACUUUUGUCUCACAGCUCUUAAGAUUUUUUCCUUCAUCUGAACUUUAGAUAACCUGAUGACAAUGUGCCUAGGUGCAAUGAUCUUUUUGCAAUGAAUUUCCCAGGUGUUCUUUGUGCUUCUUGUAUUUGGAUGUCUAGGUCUAGAGAAAUGCCGGGGAAGUUUUUCUCAGUUAUUCUCCCAAGUAUAUUUUCCAAACUUUUAGAUUUUUAGAUUUCUCUUCUUCCUCUGAAACACCGAUUAUUCUUAAAUUAGGUCAUUUAACAUAAUCCCAGACUUCUUGGAGGCUUUGUUAAUAUCUUCUUAUUUUUUUCUUUGUCUUUAUUGGAUUGGGUUAAUUCAAAGACCUCAUCUUCAAGCUCUGAAUUUAUUUCUUCUGAUUGUUCAAUUCUAUUGCUUAGACUUUCCAGAGCAUUUUGCAUUUCUAUAAGUUUGUCAAAUGUUUCCUGAAGUUUUUAUUGUUUUUUUAUUUGUGCUAUCAAUUUCCUUGAAUAUUUCUCCUUUCACUUCUUAUAUCAUUUUUGGAUUUCCUUACAUUGGGCUUUGCCUUUCUCUGGUGCCUCCCUGAUUAGCUUAAUAAUUAUACUCUUGCAUUCUUUUUCGUGUAAAUCAGAAAUUUCUUCUUGGCUUGGGCCUAUUGCUGGUGAGCUAGUGUGAUUUUUUUAUGUGGCUUCCUAAGAGCUGAGCUGUUGUGAUUGUUAUCUCUGUUCUGGAUCUAGCCAUUCAGCAAGUCUACCAGGCUCUGGGCUAGUACUGGGGGUUGUCUGCAGAAUCUUGUGAUGUGAACCAUCUGUGGUCUCUCAGCCAGGGGUACCAGCACCUGUUCCAGUGGAGGUGGCAGGGGGUGAAAUGGGCUCUGUGAGUGCUCUUAGCUUUGAUGGUUUAAUGCUCUAUUUUUGUGCUGGUUGGCUUCCUGCCAGGAGGUGGAACUUUCCAGAGAGUAUCAGCUGUGGUAGUAUGGGGAGAAACAGGUGGUAGGUAAGGCCCUAGAACUCUCAAGAGUAUAUGCCCUGUGUCUUCAGUUACCAGGGUGGGUAUGGAAGGACCAUGUGGUGGGGCCAUAGAUAGGUGUGUCUGAGCUCAGACUCUCUUUGGGCGGGUCUUACUUUGGCUGCUGUGGGGGAUGGGGGUGAGGUUCCCAGGUCAACAGAGUUAUGCUCCUAGGAGGAUUAUGACUUUGUUUACUGUGUCAUUCAGGUUAUCAGGGAAGUGGGGAAAAGCCAGCAGUCAUAAGCCUCACCCAGCUCCCAUGCAACUGGAAGGGCCAGUCUUACUUUCACCAUGCUCACCCCAACAGCACUGAGUCUGUUUCCAGGCAGUGAACAAGCAGGGCUGAGAACUUGCUCCAGAGUACCCACCUCCCAGCUGCAAAGCAAAUAAAGCUUUCCUUCUUUCCCCACCUGUGGAAUCUGCAAGCCAGCUUCACCCCUCCCAUCGAGUUCUGGUCAGGAGGCUUCUGGUUGAGUUCAAAUUGCUAUAAAGUUCAGCUGGAGCCUUCCUUCUCCCUGUGGCCUUUUCCCAGUACCUCUGGCCACCCUCCCGAAGGACCUUUGUAAGGCCAGGCAAAAAUGGCUUGCUAGGGGACCCAGUGAUCUCCCAGGGCUUUUUCCAACUGCUUCCUCUUCCCCUAUAUUUUGCUUGGCUCUCUAAAUCGACUCAGCUCCAGCUCAUAUUGUUUACAUGUUUGUCCACUCCAAAUCUCAUGUUGAAGAGCAAUCCCCGAUGCUGGAGGUGGGACCUGGUGGGAAGUCUUUGAGUCACGGUGGCAGAUCUCUCAUAAAAGUCUUGGUGCCAAGUCAAAGUAAUGAAUUUACCCAUAUUUCAAAUAAAAAAAAUUUUGCUGUUG
rnacentral:lncRNA from 10 species